rnacentral:lncRNA from 1 species
CUGGAUGUGGCUGCAAAGCAGACAGAUGGGUAGUAACACAAAUAUGUUGUUCUGCGGCACAGUGAAGAGGUGACCAACCCUCGUUGCUAUCAACAUCAGUGGGAUAUGAGGUUAUGAGGCAAUUUACAGAGCUGAGUUGGUAGGAAUCUUUUCUAGAAAAGGAUUUAGGUAUUUAGCCCAAAGGGCAGAAUCUGAUUCACCUUACAGGAAAACAAAUCAACCCAGAGACUUCUGUGGGGAAGGAUCUCCGUGUGGGUUUGCUGUGUCCUGUGGAAUAGAGCAGUUCCCAGGCCGUGCCUGUGCUGGCUGAGUGGCUGGAAUAAAAGAGAUACUUUCUUUCCUUCAAAUUAGGUGUAGUGGGUAUCUGUGAAGGAGCACCCUUCUGCCUGCACGAGGGGCUGUGAGCUUCCUACCAGGAACUUUUGGGAUCCUGUACUGUCAGCUCAGCCCUGCCUUCUGAGAGCUGCAGGAGACAGCAAGGCUGCAGCAGAGGCAGGGCAGAGCCUGCUGAUCCUGGAGAUGCCUACAGAAGAGCUGGUCUGCCCCUGCUCUGCUGGCUCACUGCUGGGAGCUGUGGUGUGUCCGUGCCUCUGGAUGUGCCUUUGUGUCCAGCUGUUAAGAGUUCAGUGGGUUGAACUGCAAUCCUUCAAGUUCAUCUGUUGACUCCAACACAAAACUAUUAUAAACUGUGCCUCUAAAACACGUGAUGAAACAUUUCUUGAGAGCUAUUUAUUCCAACUGCAGCAGAGGAAAGUUUUCAGAGCACCCGGCAUUUGGUAGAGGAAAGGUCUCUUGAGCUUUGCAAAAGGAGGAAUUAUUUGCAUACCGGCGUAAGUUGCUUUUUGAUUAUUUUUUCCUGCAUCACUGAACAAAAUAAUACUUCUAACUUUCGCCCACCAUGGAAACAUGAUCAAGUAGCACAAAACUAUGUUUAAGUGCCUAGUAGGGUCUUUCUAUAUAGUUUUUUUUUCUUUAAUCAUGUGGCUUGGGUGUUUUAUAAUUCAGCAUAGAACUCAAGAUAAUUUAAUAUUAUAUGUUUUCUUUCCUUGAAUGUUUUCUGUAUCUGAAUAAGAGUUCAUUCACUUACAGUAGUAAUGCAGAGGUAUAAUAGACUGGGAGCUUCAAUCAGGUGUGGGGUUUGCAAGCUUACAAGGAGUAAUGAAGGGUUUGAGGUAACCUUUUUCCAGAUGUUUCUUUUACACCUUUGCUCUGAAGUUUGAUCUUACAUAUCCGUUUACAUUCUCCUCCAGGCUUCA